UCCAGCAGCCGCGGUAAUACGUAGGGUGCGAGCGUUAAUCGGAAUUACUGGGCGUAAAGCGUGCGCAGGCGGUUUUGUAAGUCAGAUGUGAAAUCCCCGGGCUCAACCUGGGAACUGCAUUUGAGACUGCAAGGCUAGAGUGUGGCAGAGGGGGGUAGAAUUCCACGUGUAGCAGUGAAAUGCGUAGAGAUGUGGAGGAAUACCGAUGGCGAAGGCAGCCCCCUGGGCCAAUACUGACGCUCAUGCACGAAAGCGGGGGGAGCAAACAGGAUUAGAUACCCUGGUAGUCCACGCCCUAAACGAUGUCAACUAGGUGUUGGAAGGGUUAAACCUUUUAGUGCCGUAGCUAAC
rnacentral:rRNA from 1 species